CUAGAAUUCAGUAUUUCUUGUGUGAUACAAAGAUAAAUCGUUUGAUUUUGAAAUGUCUGUUUUCUUAGAGGAGACAACAAAACAGAUGUCUGUAAUCUACUUGUAGGAAUUGACAUAGGAAAAAAUCUUCAUUGUUUGAUUGUGUAAGUUUACCUACUCAACCAAAAGUUACUUGUCACCCACAAAAUCUUUGUGCAAACAGAACUCAGUCAUCUGUGGAUAGCACAGAACGUUGGAAAAUGGGUCACCUGAAAUCCACGUGUUCCCAGCAGGACUGAAAAAUGUCUUGUUUCAGCUCUCAAAAACAAGUCCUUUUCAAGGGCUGUUUGUGCCUCACUUUGACAUUUUCACGCUGUGUGUGUCUGUGAGUGUGUGUGUAUGAUUUUACUGUUUAAAUGGCCCCUGUGGAGAAAACGUAAAUUUCAUUUGGGCAUAAGUUAUAGAGCUGUCAGCUGUGGGUUCAGUGUUAACAAUAUAUAUUAAAUGAGAGGUCUUUAGGCAGAAACACAAAGCUGUGUGUCAAUAGAUGAAAAUGUGAUAGGCUCACAGGUACCUAACUUAUUUGCCCUAGGAGCAAUGACUCAGUUAUUUACUACUUUCAAUGUUAGCAAGACUUCGCAAAACAAUCUUCAUAGAUAACUGACUGCUGCUGCUAAGCCGCUUCAGUCGUGUCCGACUCCUAGUGACCCCAUGGACUGCAGCCCACCAGGCCCCUCUGUCCAUGGGAUUUUCCAGUAUUGCCUGGAGAGCCUCUAGGAUACAGGAUUGCAAAGAGUCGGACUUGACUGAGCACACCCAACUUCAUGGAGGAUUUGAAAGGAAGCACAGUGAAGGAUACUACCAUAUCUCAUAAGGCUGCCUCUGUUGGCAGGUAGGAGAUGAUAAUGGCUACUUGGAAACUGCUUUUUUAGCCUAGAAUUUCCUUUUCUGUAGCAUGCACACUAAGUUGCAUGGCUGAAACAAGCUAAUGUAUCUUGCUUACAGGAUGCUACCUUUGAUUAUACCUCUACCAAACUAAUGGAUCACAGUUCAGUUGCUCAGUCGCGUCUGACUUUGCAACCCCAUGAAUUGCACCACGCUAGCCUCCCUGUCCAUCACCAACUCCCAGAGUUCACUCCGACUCCCGUCCAUCGAGUCAGUGAUGCCAUCCAGCCAUCUCAUCCUCUGUCGUCCCCUUCUCCUGCCUCCAAGUGAAAUUUUAGAAAGUACUUUGAAAUUUUCUUACUCUGAUGUAAAUCCAUGGUCCCUAUUCAUUUGCAGUGAGUAAAUGAAGACCUGAAUAGCUGUGCUUAAUAAGUGCAUUCUCCGUGUAAGACCAGUUCUCAUGGAAACGAUCAGGUUCGGUUUUCUGUCCACAGUUUUUAAGUUUGGGGGCAGGGUGGGGGGAUUUGUUUUUUCAACAGAGAUGGUGGUGAUAGUUCAAUUGCCAAGACUCUUGUGAUUCCAUGAUCUGUAGCCCGUUAAGAUCUGUACGUGAUCUGUAGUCCAUGGAAUUUUCCAGGCAAGAAUACUGAAGUAGGUUGCCAUGCCCUCCCCUCCAGUUAUCUUCCUGGCCCAGGGAUUGAAUCCAGGUCUCCUGCAUUCCAGGUAGAUUUCUUUACUGACUGAGCCGCCAGGAAAGCCUUAACAAAGUUAGGAAAGCAUGCAAUUUACUUUGUUACUGGAAACAUCCCCAGAAAGCCUGAAACAGUUUAUUCAUUUAUUAACCUAACCUAACAUACUCGAUAUAGAGAAGAAGCUCUUCAUGUUGGAAGGCGAGAAUAUUUUUUUAGAUCCCACAAAAUACAUAGCAACAAUUGAUAAAGGUAUAUAUGAGCAGGUGGAUAUGUGACUGGUGAUGAUAAGGUUUUGUUUCUGUGUACUCCCAACCUCAAGUAAGAAAAAAAUGUUGUACUUGGAAUAUUUUAUUCUGACAUUCAAAUCUCUUAAGUAAACAUGCCAGACUGACAUCCAAAAAGUCUUUAAUCACCCCCCAAAAAUUGAUAUUUCCCAAACCAUUGAAAUCAGUCUAAGAUAUUUUGACCAUUUUUUUUGAAGUAACAGCAUAAAAAGUUCUUAAAAAUGUAAAAAAAUGAAUCAGAUGCUUAAUUAUAUUCUAGACG
ensembl:lncRNA